GUUGUAUAGUCAAGUAAUUAAGUGCAUGUGGUGGAUGCCUUGGCAGUCAGAGGCGAUGAAAGACGUGAUAGCCUGCGAAAAGCUCCGGGGAGGCGGCAAAUAUCCUUUGAUCCGGAGAUGUCUGAAUGGGGGAACCCACCUACUUUAAGGUAGGUAUUGCAACAUGAAUACAUAGUGUUGCAAGGCGAACGAGGGGAAGUGAAACAUCUCAGUACCCUUAGGAAAAGAAAUCAAUUGAGAUUCCCUCAGUAGCGGCGAGCGAACGGGGAUCAGCCCAUUAAGUUAUGUGUGUUUUAGUGGAACGCUCUGGGAAGUGCGAACGUAGAGGGUGAUAUUCCCGUACACGAAAGGGCACACAUAAUGAUGACGAGUAGGGCGAGGCACGUGAAACCUUGUCUGAAUAUGGGGGGACCAUCCUCCAAGGCUAAAUACUCCUGACUGACCGAUAGUGAACCAGUACCGUGAGGGAAAGGCGAAAAGAACCCCUGUGAGGGGAGUGAAAUAGAUCCUGAAACCGCAUGCAUACAAGCAGUGGGAGCACCUUCGUGGUGUGACUGCGUACCUUUUGUAUAAUGGGUCAGCGACUUAUAUUCAGUAGCAAGGUUAACCGUAUAGGGGAGCCGUAGAGAAAUCGAGUCUUAAUAGGGCGUUUAGUUGCUGGGUAUAGACCCGAAACCAGGCGAUCUAUCCAUGAGCAGGUUGAAGGUUGGGUAACACUAACUGGAGGACCGAACCCACUGUCGUUGAAAAGCCAGGGGAUGACUUGUGGAUAGGGGUGAAAGGCUAAUCAAGCCUGGUGAUAGCUGGUUCUCCCCGAAAGCUAUUUAGGUAGCGCCUCGGACGAAUACCAUAGGGGGUAGAGCACUGUUUCGGCUAGGGGGUCAUCCCGACUUACCAAACCGAUGCAAACUCCGAAUACCUAUGAGUACUAUCCGGGAGACAGACUGCGGGUGCUAACGUCCGUAGUCAAGAGGAAAACAAUCCAGACCGCCAGCUAAGGCCCCAAAAUCAUAGUUAAGUGGGAAACGAUGUGGGAAGGCAUAGACAGCUAGGAGGUUGGCUUAGAAGCAGCCACCCUUUAAAGAAAGCGUAAUAGCUCACUAGUCGAGUCGGCCUGCGCGGAAGAUGUAACGGGGCUAAAACUAUGUGCCGAAGCUGCGGAUAUGCUGGAGGUAUCAGAAGUGCGAAUGCUGACGUGAGUAACGACAAAACGGGUGAAAAACCCGUUCGCCGAAAGACCAAGGGUUCCAGUCCAACGUUAAUCGGGGCUGGGUGAGUCGACCCCUAAGGCGAGGCCGAAAGGCGUAGUCGAUGGGAAAAUGGUUAAUAUUCCAUUACUUCUGUGUAAUGCGAUGAGAGGACGGAGAAGGCUAAAUCAGCCUGGCGUUGGUUGUCCAGGUGAAAGGAUGUAGGCAUGUAUCUUAGGCAAAUCCGGGGUACUCUAUGCUGAGAUCUGAUAGCAAGCUGUACUUGUACAGCGAAGUGGUUGAUGCCAUGCUUCCAGGAAAAGUCUCUAAGCUUCAGUUACACAGGAAUCGUACCCGAAACCGACACAGGUGGUCAGGUCGAGUAGACCAAGGCGCUUGAGAGAACUCUGCUGAAGGAACUAGGCAAAAUGGUACCGUAACUUCGGGAGAAGGUACGCUGUUGUUGGUGAUGGAACUCGCUUCCUGAGCUGACGACAGCCGCAGAAACCAGGCCGCUGCAACUGUUUAUUAAAAACAUAGCACUCUGCAAACACGAAAGUGGACGUAUAGGGUGUGAUGCCUGCCCGGUGCUGGAAGGUUAAUUGAUGGGGUUAGCGUAAGCGAAGCUCUUGAUCGAAGCCCCAGUAAACGGCGGCCGUAACUAUAACGGUCCUAAGGUAGCGAAAUUCCUUGUCGGGUAAGUUCCGACCUGCACGAAUGGCAUAAUGAUGGCGGCGCUGUCUCCAGCAGAGGCUCAGUGAAAUCGAAAUCGCUGUGAAGAUGCAGUGUACCCGCGGCUAGACGGAAAGACCCCGUGAACCUUUACUGCAGCUUGACACUGAACUUUGACCUUACUUGUGUAGGAUAGGUGGGAGGCUUUGAAGCUGGAACGCUAGUUCCAGUGGAGCCGUCCUUGAAAUACCACCCUGGUAAUGUUGAGGUUCUAACUCUGUCCCGUGAUCCGGGACGAGGACCGUGUCUGGUGGGUAGUUUGACUGGGGCGGUCUCCUCCUAAAGAGUAACGGAGGAGUACGAAGGUGCGCUCAGCGUGGUCGGAAAUCACGCGUAGAGUAUAAAGGCAAAAGCGCGCUUAACUGCGAGACCCACAAGUCGAGCAGGUACGAAAGUAGGUCUUAGUGAUCCGGUGGUUCUGUAUGGAAGGGCCAUCGCUCAACGGAUAAAAGGUACUCUGGGGAUAACAGGCUGAUACCGCCCAAGAGUUCAUAUCGACGGCGGUGUUUGGCACCUCGAUGUCGGCUCAUCUCAUCCUGGGGCUGAAGCAGGUCCCAAGGGUAUGGCUGUUCGCCAUUUAAAGAGGUACGCGAGCUGGGUUUAGAACGUCGUGAGACAGUUCGGUCCCUAUCUACCGUGGGCGCUGGAAAUUUGAGAGGAUCUGCUCCUAGUACGAGAGGACCAGAGUGGACGAACCUCUGGUGUACCGGUUGUGACGCCAGUCGCAUCGCCGGGUAGCUAUGUUCGGAAGGGAUAACCGCUGAAAGCAUCUAAGCGGGAAGCCUACCUCAAGAUAAGAUUUCCCUAGGACUUUAUGUCCUCUAAAGAGCCGUUCGAGACUAGGACGUUGAUAGGUUGGAUGUGGAAGCAUAGUGAUAUGUGAAGCUGACCAAUACUAAUUGCUCGUGAGGCUUGACUAUACAACACCCAAGCAGUUG
rnacentral:rRNA from 1 species